rnacentral:rRNA from 1 species
AAAUUGAAGAGUUUGAUCAUGGCUCAGAUUGAACGCUGGCGGCAGGCCUAACACAUGCAAGUCGAGCGGUAACACAGGGAGCUUGCUCCUGGGUGACGAGCGGCGGACGGGUGAGUAAUGUCUGGGAAACUGCCUGAUGGAGGGGGAUAACUACUGGAAACGGUAGCUAAUACCGCAUAACGUCGCAAGACCAAAGAGGGGGACCUUCGGGCCUCUUGCCAUCAGAUGUGCCCAGAUGGGAUUAGCUAGUAGGUGGGGUAACGGCUCACCUAGGCGACGAUCCCUAGCUGGUCUGAGAGGAUGACCAGCCACACUGGAACUGAGACACGGUCCAGACUCCUACGGGAGGCAGCAGUGGGGAAUAUUGCACAAUGGGCGCAAGCCUGAUGCAGCCAUGCCGCGUGUAUGAAGAAGGCCUUCGGGUUGUAAAGUACUUUCAGCGGGGAGGAAGGUGYUGAGGUUAAUAACCUCAGCAAUUGACGUUACCCGCAGAAGAAGCACCGGCUAACUCCGUGCCAGCAGCCGCGGUAAUACGGAGGGUGCAAGCGUUAAUCGGAAUUACUGGGCGUAAAGCGCACGCAGGCGGUCUGUCAAGUCGGAUGUGAAAUCCCCGGGCUCAACCUGGGAACUGCAUUCGAAACUGGCAGGCUAGAGUCUUGUAGAGGGGGGUAGAAUUCCAGGUGUAGCGGUGAAAUGCGUAGAGAUCUGGAGGAAUACCGGUGGCGAAGGCGGCCCCCUGGACAAAGACUGACGCUCAGGUGCGAAAGCG